rnacentral:rRNA from 1 species
UACGUAGGGGGCGAGCGUUGUCCGGAUUUAUUGGGCGUAAAGAGCUCGUAGGCGGCUUGGCAAGUCGGGUGUGAAAUCCCCAGGCUCAACUUGGGAACUGCAUCCGAUACUGGAUGGCUUGAAUUCGGGAGAGGGAUGCAGAAUUCCAGGUGUAGCGGUGAAAUGCGUAGAUAUCUGGAGGAACACCGGUGGCGAAGGCGGCAUCCUGGACCGGCAUUGACGCUGAGGCGCGAAAGCGUGGGGAGCAAACAGG